GACGAACGCUGGCGGCGUGCUUAACACAUGCAAGUCGAACGGAAAGGCCCCUUUGGGGGUACUCGAGUGGCGAACGGGUGAGUAACACGUGAGUAACCUGCCCUUGACUUCGGGAUAACUUCAGGAAACUGGGGCUAAUACCGGAUAGGAAUCCUUGCUGCAUGGUGGGGGUUGGAAAGCUUCGGCGGUUUUGGAUGGACUCGCGGCUUAUCAGCUUGUUGGUGGGGUAGUGGCUUACCAAGGCUUUGACGGGUAGCCGGCCUGAGAGGGCGACCGGCCACAUGGGGACUGGGAUACGGCCCAGACUCCUACGGGAGGCAGCAGUGGGGAAUAUUGCACAAGGGGGGGAAGCCUGAUGCAGCAACGCCGCGUGCGGGAUGACGGCCUUCGGGUUGUAAACCGCUUUCAGCAGGGGGGAAGCUUGUGGUGGCGGUACCUGCAGAAGAAGCACCGGCUAACUACGG
rnacentral:rRNA from 1 species